UGUCUCAAAUGACUUCAGAAG
rnacentral:misc_RNA from 1 species